CGCUGGCUCCUCGGAGCAUCGUGCACGCCCGCCAUUUUUAUAUAUCCACCUGAUGCACCGAAUGUAGGUCUGGAUGACUCUCGCCUUCGGGCGGAUGCGAGGUUUGCGUUUCGCGUGCGAGCGCUCUCCUCGAAUUUCCAGGCUCUACGUCUCUUUACACACCCCAAACGUAUGAUGCAGAAUGUAGUCAAUGGGCCUUUACAAGCCUAUAAAACACUAUACAACUUUCAGCAACGGAUCUCUUGGCUCUCGCAUCGAUGAAGAACGCAGCGAAAUGCGAUAAGUAAUGUGAAUUGCAGAAUUCAGUGAAUCAUCGAAUCUUUGAACGCACCUUGCGCUCCUUGGUAUUCCGAGGAGCAUGCCUGUUUGAGUGUCAUUAAAUUCUCAACCUCACCGGUUUUCUGAACCGUUCUCCGAGGCUUGGAUGUGGGGGUUUGUGCAGGUCGCCUCAGCGCGGUCUGCUCCCCUGAAAUGCAUUAGCGAGAUUCAUUCUGGACCUCCGUCUAUCGGUGUGAUAAUUAUCUACGUCGUUGACUUGGUUCGGACUCGCUUCUAACCGUCCGCGAGGACAACAUACUUGACAAUUUGACCUCAAAUCAGGU
rnacentral:rRNA from 1 species